rnacentral:rRNA from 1 species
UACCUAGUGGCAGACGGGUGGAGUAACACGUGGUCAACCUUCCUUUAGUGGGGAUAACUAGCCGAAAGGUUAGCUAAUACCGCAUACCAUCUAAACCCGGCAUCGGGAGUAGAUAAAAGGAGCAAUCCGCUUAAGGACGGGACCGCGUCCCAUUAGUUAGUUGGUGGGGUAACGGCCUACCAAGACUCCGAUGGGUAGCUGGUUUGAGAGAGCGACCAGCCACACUGGGACUGAGAAACGGCCCAG